GGCAAGUUGAAGACAAGAAGGGCCGGAGCCGUUACAAGCUGAGGGAGGGGAGGGUUCCGGAACCUGGCGGGCCACACAGUUGCUUCACUUCCUUUCCCUGCACCUAGUCUUGAGCCAGUCCCUCAACCCUCACCCUAACUACGGAGAACUCUAGUAACCAGCUGCCAACAGUAGUGCGUGCUGCCUAGGAAGGUAAUGAACUCCUUGUUACUGGAAGUAGUCAAGCAGAUACUGGCUGGCCACCUUCCAGGGAUACUGCAAAGAAAAGACCUGACGUGAGUGAGAGUUUGCUUCCUACGCGCUCCAGAGCCUCUUUACCUCCAUUGCUUCUCUUGGAGAGAAGGUUUGUGGCAACCCUGCAUCAAGCAAGUCUGUCUGUGAUGUGCAACAACAAGUGCUGUUAUUUUUUGAGGAUUUUCCAACUUUUCUCAGCUUAGCUGGACACAGUGACCCUUACACCUUUUGGACACUCCAUCAGAUCACGUGGCGGUGACAGUUACAAUGUCUGAAUAAAAAAUGUUGAAGAGGAAAGACUGAAGCUGGAAGGGAAGGUUCUAGCCCAAGGCUCUGGGAAGGUCCACCAAGAACCUCUAAUAGUGACUGAAAGACAUUUUCAACCUCAGGCUCCAGGCUGAGAUCUGAAGUGACCUCCAGAGUGGCGGGGCCUGCUGGGGUGAAUAGGUGACACCUGAUUAUGGCCGAGGGAGGUACCCAGCCAGUCAAGCUCGGAAAGCCCAUCUGCUCUACCCAGGCAUUCCUGGAUGGUGGGGUUCAUGGCUGGGCUCCCAUGCACUUGGGUUCUAGAGUCAGAAACCCCAGGAACCUUACUGGGAAAAUCCACAGACCGAGGAGUGACCAAUGAGAGGAGCAGGAGGUUGUGCUUACGGGCGACCCCCUCUCAUACUCAGCCUCUGCGUUCACAUUUCCGUGUUUUUGUUAGCUCUCUUAAGAGUUCUGGUGUAUAACAGAGCCUUCCCGAGACUUUCUGAUCUCUCCGUUCAACACAGAAAACUCCCCAGAGUCCUCUUUCACAGGGUUGAAGCUUCCUGUUGUGUGAUGAACUUGCAUGGACUCCCUUCCUCCCCGCCAAGGAUACCCAGCAACAUCACGUGGGGACGCACCUGCCAACCACCCACUUUCUCUGGAGCUGUAUAUGCCUAUGGGGAGGAGCGGCCUGGAAGUCUGCAACCGCCCUGUGACUGGUAGCGCCCGGUAUCCUAAGGACAGCCGGGGACCAGCAUGAACUCUGAGAGACGCUCGGCUCUAUUUCUUAGGAGACUUAGUAAUGCAACUGAAGAUCCCUGCUGGGUUUGUCUCAGGAGCCCUAUAGCCACCCUAUUCGUCUUUAAUGGCUAUAAAAAUCCAGUCCAGAGGAGGGAAAAUAUUAAUCGGGCAAGCCCUGCCUUUGGAGGUACGUGCCGAAGGCAGAGCAGGGCAGUGAAUAAAGCAGGCACCGAACAGGCCGUCAGGACGAGGAGCCUCCCGAGUUCUUUUCUCUCCUCUUAUUUGGCUUUCCUCCGAUGAAGACACGCCUCAAGGGCUGAGAGCAGCCACGCCUGAGUCCAACCGAUGGAGAGAACUUCAGACUUUCAGAGCCACAGAAGCUGGGGCUAAAUGCACCGACUCCAUAGCCAUGAGGACCAGCCCUUGAGUCUAUGGACCCUGGAAUGCACAGCCCCAAUCUAGACUCUAGCUAGCUGGUGUCAUAUGCAGGGGCUUAGGUGACUGGGAGCAGGGCAUUUGGCCAUCUCCGUGUGGGGAGGAGGCUCGGGGACAGCUACAGAGCAGACCCCUGCAAGGCCCAGAAGGGGAGAACCCUUGCAUCAAAACAGGAUGAGAUUAGGCUACUGUCCUUUAGAAACUCCACGUGGUUGCCGUUCUGCCCCCUCUUCAGUGUCUGGGGCGUGAUGACUAAGCUGAAGCUCGGGGGCCAUAAACCACCCUCUCAUCUUCUCGGCCCAUGGUAUGCUGGGAGACGCCAGGAAAAGUCACUUCUCUGUGCUUUAUCUCUUCUGUGGCCCCCGUGUCUUCUCUCCUACCCUUCGAAGGGGACACCUGGGGUCUCAGCACUGCUCGGCCUCCACGAAGCCCUCCUUCUCUCGGCCCGAGGGCUCAACCUCGGUGUAGGUGGAGUGGCCGGGGUGGUUGCGGAACUUCAUGGCUGGCCAGUGGUGAGGUCUCCGCUGUGGGGUGGGGGGGCACAGAGGCAAAGUCAGUGGGCCUGACCCCAACCAUGGGGACUCUCCCCGCCCAGGGACAGCACCAAGACUCUCUUACAAGUCCCCUGGGGCCCUACUAGGAGCUGGAUGACUGACCUUCAGGGCCCCUGUCCCCAAAAGGCUCCCACUGUGAUCCCACAACCACUGGGAAACCUGCUGGGAGCCAGAGUUUGCAAGAAGGACAUUUUCUCCUCCAUGGCGUGGUCUGCAGAACUCACAGCUAAAAGAUUCAGCAACACACUGAGUGGAGACCUGAGGCUGUGCAAGAUGUAACCUGAUCAUCUUUGCCACCUCCUCCAGGACCAGGACAUAGAGCCAUAACUGUCUUCACUUACUCUAAUGAAGGUUUUCUGCUGAGGACUGUUCCACAGUAAACAUAAGUGAGACCCACUCCUGGGCUGGCAGGUGACGCACACAAACAGUGAAACAGGCAAACAGAAUUCGCUGCUUGUGCAGGGACCGUCCCCAUAGCAGUACCACGGGACAAGUGGACCCUCUUGGGGGGGGCGGUAAUCACAAGGCAGGAUUUGAACGCGGCUCCCCAUGGCCACCAUGAAGCCACCCUCACGGGGUUAACAAGGAUUCAAGACAGAAAUAUCGUUAUAAUUAAGUAUUAAUCGGGCUGCAAUAAAUGUGGCCUACUUCCUUGUAACCGGAAGUCACGCAGCACUAGCUAGUGAUCAUUUACACCCCCUCAUUCCUAUAGAUAGGGUUUCUGACGUCAGAGUCAUAAGACUUCUGCUUACGAAUUGCUUAAGAUGUUUUUCAGGUCCUGAAUUACAGAGGAAUAGCUGGUGCCAUCCAGUGUGGAGACCGCCCCCCCUCAAGAGGACCGAGCUACCCUGAGAAUGAAGUUUCUCCAGCUCCUGGUCCCAUGACUUCACCCUGCACCCUUCCACUGAGACUGAUAAGAACUGAGUCUUUCAAGGAUUGAGCCUAUGGUGGCGGUCCAAGAGCAUCACAUGCUAGCCUUGAGCCCACCAACCUAGCUUCCAAGAAGCGCAUGAGAAAUGGUCAUUUGCUGAGCAUCUCCUGAAUGCCAGGUGCUGCCCCAGCCACAUGCCGCCCUGCACCAUCUCAUGGGACCCUCCCAGUGACACUGAAAGGCAAGGAUUACGACCCCCAUUUUGUGACCCAAUCUUGAAGUUAAGGUUGCCCUUAGACUCCAGAGUGGGCCGUGGUGGGGCAAGGUGGGAUGAAGGGAGGACACCUGCCAUGGUAAGUGAAAUUGUCUAAAUCAGAUCCGGCCCCACAGCAGGAGGGCAAGUCCUGGGAGGCUGUGGAGGGAGAGCCGAGCAGUGGAGGGGAGGGGAACAGAGAGCCCUGUGGGGAUUGACAGCAGCUGUUGGUGGGAGACCAUGUCAGCUGUCCCCACUGCACCAGCCCUGGCCCUCUGGCUUUUUGGGGACCUGGGGUCAGCUGUCAGUUGGAGCUGGGGCUCCAGAAAGCUGGCAAGGAGGGGCACGUGCAGGAGUGAGCCCAGGCCCACGGGGCAUCUGGGGACAGGAUGGUUUCCAGUCCACAUCAGCCUUGCACACUGUUGGAGUUUCCCUGUGCUGUGCUGUUUCUCUCUGCUGACAUGACCACAAAACAGGCAGAGUCCACAACCAGAGGGCCUGCCCUUCCCCCAACCCGACCAACCUCUCAAUGUGGAGGUGGGCCCAGCCCUCAUUAAACCGUCAUGGUCUCUGAGUUUGGGCGUCUGCAUUCACAGGGGGUGGUGUCCACGCUUUCAUCUGACCCAUUUUGCAGUUCUCAUGGCUCAGCUCUUGUUGGAGGCUGAGUCAUGCCGUGGCAGCCAGCCCUGCGAUCUCAGGGCUCAUCUGAGGUCACCUCCCUAUCACUGAGACAGUGGUUCUCAAAUUUGACAAAGCACAAGAUGGACCACUUCAAAAAUCAGAUUCCUGGGAUCCUGGUCCACCAGAGGAUCAUAUUCAGUGGGUUGGUGCAGGGCCCAGGAAUCUGCAUUUUUACAAGCCUUCCAGGCAAUUCUUAUAGCCUCACAGUCUGGAGAUUACUCUGCGAACCUCCACUCCAGGAAGAACCAACUUGGGGUCUUCCUGUGUAUUUUUCUCUGGGCUCUGUGUGUUCCUCACCCACAUGUCCCUGAAUGACAUAAACUCAGCCCAUUACACAGGGUAAACAAACUGAGGCCCCAAGAGACUGAAUAAAAGCACAGCUGGUGGGAAGAACACCUGGCAGGCCUGAGGAGCACCACCCAGUCCCCUUCCGGCCCAGAGCCACGUCCUAUGAGCCAGGCGAGAGCUUCUAUUUCUGCGCCGAGAUACUGGGAAGGAGCGAAGGAAGUGCUGCACGGCAGCUGCAAGGGAACCCACAGAUUAUAAUUUUGCAGUUUUCAAGAUUGCCUUAAAGGCUCCUGGAGUUCACAGGGCUUCCCACUCUCAGGAGAGCCGUAGUCCCCAAAGAAAUCCCUUUUUCUUUCUCUCCUGCUAUUUAUUUAUCUUGGACAGGGAACAAAGCUUGAAUUCUGAGUCUAAUCUGUGUGGAAAUGAUUUCAGAACAAGGAGUGGAAGAUGAGUUGGAUUUAAAAACUCUAUCCCUGAGACCGAAUCUUACCCAGAAUUUUCUGAGCUUCUAAAACCAAGCAAACAUAGCUUCGUAGCUUCCCCCAAGCUUUCCACGGACGCCUGCAGUGUCCGUAUUCCUGGUUUGCAGGAAAUGUUCUUGCAGCCCAAGAAAGAUCUUGAGUUCGUGGUUUGGGGUCAUGGGUCUUUGGAUUAUAUCCUGUCUCUGAGCUGACAGUUCUCACACUUGUUUGCAGAUGAGGCACUAUGUUAAAAUGCAGCUUCCUGGGUUCUCUCCCAGAGAUCCUGAUGCAGAGGGUGUGGGGUGGGUCCCAGGACUCUGCCUUAAGAGUGGGGUGCCCACAGCUGUGCACCACACCCUGCCACACAGACACCUGCAUCAGCCAUAACCCUCAGGGAGAGACUCACUUCUGUGACACUCUUGUCCUAAGAGUCGGGAGUGGCACUGGCCAGAGGCCUUCACAUUGGCAGACGGUGGGUGAUAAGGCCCGAGGCCAGGAGCAGGGCCAUGCCACCCUCUGCCCCUCCACAGUCUGCCACUGGGAAUCAGCAGGGAACCCUGGGCACGAACCUCUGGAGGACAUGGCACCAGCUGCAGUUGAAGGUCAGGUCCGAGGACAUGCAGGCGUCGCAGCUCCGAUGCUGCAGGCAGGCUGCAAGAGACAAGGCCGCAGCCACUCAGCACCAGGACCUCUCCACAGGCACUAAGGGACGCCACCCCUGAAUAAUGGGUGUUUACAGGACUAGGGCGUCCCUGACUUAGCAGGGACCCUUGAGGUCAUCAGUGCCACCCUCACUUGAAUCCAGCCCCAACUCCUAACUUCUUUCAUUUCUUUCUUAACCUCCCUCCCUCCCUUUCUCCCUUCCUUCCUCCCAUCAUUAGGGGCUCAGGCCCUGAACUGGCGCUGGGGAUUCGGCAGUGAGACCUGGUCCCUGCCUUCUUGGAGCUUACAGUCACAUGGGGACACAGACACUAAACAGAUAACCAAACAAAAAUAACUACAGAAUUAUAACUGUCAUGGGGUCUCUGCAGGAAAAUCACAGGACACUACAAGCGUGUACAAAGGGAUCUCACCCAGUUGGGGAAGUUAUACUUCCACACGUACGUCCCACAAUCACAAAGUCCAGAGGGAUUUUUCAAAGAUCAGAUGAUACAAAGCAGCAGAUAUGCAGAAUGAACAAGUCUAGAGAUCUAAUGGGUCAACAUGAAGACUAUGGCUAAUAAAGUUGUACUGUAUUUGAAAUUCAUGCUAAAUGAAAUUUUAGCUGCUCUUAGCAAAAGAAAAUGGGUAACCAUGAGAUGAUGGAUAUGUUAAUUAGCUUCAUUUUGGUAACCUUUUUGCUAUGUAUAUGUAU